UCCGGUUGAUCCUGCCGGAGGCCAUUGCUAUCGGCAUCGGCUUCAGCCAUGCUAGUCGCACGGGUUAGACCCGUGGCAGAUAGCUCAGUAACACGUGGCCAAACUGCCCUGUGGACAGGGAUAACCUCGGGAAACUGAGGCUAAUCCCCGAUACAGCUCCCAGCCUGGAGUGGCGGGAGCUGGAAACGCUCCGGCGCCAUAGGAUGUGGCUGCGGCCGAUUAGCUAGACGGUGGGGUAACGGCCCACCGUGCCCGUAAUCGGUACGGGGCAUGAGAGUGCGAGCCCGGAGGCGGUAUCUGAGACAAGAUACCGGGCCCUACGGGGCCGCAGCAGGCGCGAAACCUUUACCCUGCGCGAGAGCGCGAUAUGGGGACCCCAAGUGCGAGGGCUUAUAGUCCCUCGCUGUUUCUGAACUGUAGGGAGGUUCAGAAAGAAAAGGCCUGGUCAAGACCGGUGCCAGCCGCCCGCGGUAAUACCGGCAGCCCGAGUAAUGCCCGAU
rnacentral:rRNA from 1 species